AAUGGGUCAGCGACUUAUAUUCUGUAGCAAGGUUAACCGAAUAGGGGAGCCGAAGGGAAACCGAGUCUUAACUGGGCGUUAAGUUGCAGGGUAUAGACCCGAAACCCGGUGAUCUAGCCAUGGGCAGGUUGAAGGUUGGGUAACACUAACUGGAGGACCGAACCGACUAAUGUUGAAAAAUUAGCGGAUGACUUGUGGCUGGGGGUGAAAGGCCAAUCAAACCGGGAGAUAGCUGGUUCUCCCCGAAAGCUAUUUAGGUAGCGCCUCGUGAAUUCAUCUCCGGGGGUAGAGCACUGUUUCGGCAAGGGGGUCAUCCCGACUUACCAACCCGAUGCAAACUGCGAAUACCGGAGAAUGUUAUCACGGGAGACACACGGCGGGUGCUAACGUCCGUCGUGAAGAGGGAAACAACCCAGACCGCCAGCUAAGGUCCCAAAGUCAUGGUUAAGUGGGAAACGAUGUGGGAAGGCCCAGACAGCCAGGAUGUUGGCUUAGAAGCAGCCAUCAUUUAAAGAAAGCGUAAUAGCUCACUGGUCGAGUCGGCCUGCGCGGAAGAUGUAACGGGGCUAAACCAUGCACCGAAGCUGCGGCAGCGACACUAUGUGUUGUUGGGUAGGGGAGCGUUCUGUAAGCCUGUGAAGGUGUACUGUGAGGUAUGCUGGAGGUAUCAGAAGUGCGAAUGCUGACAUAAGUAACGAUAAAGCGGGUGAAAAGCCCGCUCGCCGGAAGACCAAGGGUUCCUGUCCAACGUUAAUCGGGGCAGGGUGAGUCGACCCCUAAGGCGAGGCCGAAAGGCGUAGUCGAUGGGAAACAGGUUAAUAUUCCUGUACUUGGUGUUACUGCGAAGGGGGGACGGAGAAGGCUAUGUUGGCCGGGCGACGGUUGUCCCGGUUUAAGCGUGUAGGCUGGUUUUCCAGGCAAAUCCGGAAAAUCAAGGCUGAGGCGUGAUGACGAGGCACUACGGUGCUGAAGCAACAAAUGCCCUGCUUCCAGGAAAAGCCUCUAAGCAUCAGGUAACAUCAAAUCGUACCCCAAACCGACACAGGUGGUCAGGUAGAGAAUACCAAGGCGCUUGAGAGAACUCGGGUGAAGGAACUAGGCAAAAUGGUGCCGUAACUUCGGGAGAAGG
rnacentral:rRNA from 1 species